rnacentral:hammerhead_ribozyme from 1 species
GCACUACUGAAGAGUCCCAAAAUAGGACGAAACGGCCGUCCAGUGC